GACUCGAGCGAAGCGAGAGAACGUUGCGUCAGCAACGGCCCGCAGGGCGAGCCACGCAGUGGCGAGUCAUCCUCUCCUGGCGCCUG
rnacentral:sRNA from 1 species